AAAUUUACAACAAAUACAAACCAUUUUCAUCUCUUCGAGACUUUAGAGUCGUAGUCGACUCUUCGUUCUUCGUGUUUCAUAGAAUCAUGAUUCAAGUAUUUAAUAUACUCGCUUUUCAAGAAUCAAACUCGAUAUUUAAUCCACCAUUGCCCAUUUCUCCUUCAACCCUAGAUAUCGGCACAAUAGUAUCAAGAUUCCUAACAAAAUAUUAGGUCUUCAAGAAUAAUUUUAGGCUUUCCAUGGAUGAUCUUCCUUUUCGAUUACAAAAUCCAAACCUCAGUUGGGACCUGAUUGGCUGUCUUAGGGGACAUUAGGGCUAUAUUCAAGCUUGAUUGUCGAAGCCUGGAAUCGGAAGAAACUUGAAUGUGACACUGAAGAUCAACAACCGGGCAGCCAAAAAGAAGAUAUGCUUAUGCGGUUUGGAGUCAUUUUAAAUGGAAAAAGAUUGAUGGGGUUGAUAAGGCUAUAUACAACUAUUGUAGGAAGAUAUUAACAGAAAAAAUCAAGAAUGGAACGACACACUUAAGUUACCAUUACAAGAAUUGUGCAUCCAAGUGCUCUAGAUUUUGAUAUUUUGUUUAUAACGAUGUUUUAAAUAAGAACUUAAAGAGUUUUUGAUGAUUUUAUGAUGUUGAAAAUAUCCGUAUGUUUUGUACUUUAUCAUCUAUUAUACUAAAGUAUGAAAAUUAGAAUGUUUUAGUUGUCAUGAUUGUUGUUUUUGUUUUGUAGAUUUAAAAAAAAAAUUGUUGUACUUUAUCAUUUGUCAUAGUGAAAGUAUGGAAAUUUGAAUGUUUUAGUUGUCA